AGAUUGAUUCAAGUCUCAGCGGGCUCCGCGCGCGCUGCUAGUUCUCAGUGCUACCAACUUACAGCUGGGCCAUCGCCUUGCUGUGUGCGGUCGGGCCCUGUGGGGGACAAGAGCGCCCCUAAGUUUUUAAUAACUCGCUAAAGCCUGUCUUUGCUCGAAUGUGCGGACUUUUUGUUAGCAAGAAACUUCUGCAGCCUUUGGAGAGGCGCCAUACGUGGGCCUCCCAGAUCACGAUUGCACCGGGAAGGUUUUUCUUGCAGAGUCCCCGCCCCCGUCCCUCUGGUCUCCUCUCGCUCUUCCCCCUCCCCCCAUGAAACCACACCCAACUUUUUAAACAAGAUCUGAAAAUUCUGGGUGAAAGAGGAAACUCGACGUCCGUAGUUUCAAAAUAGAACUCAGUGAUCAGUGGUUUUUACCCUGGUGGAAGUCAUUAAAGGUAUAAUAUGAGCCAGUUAAAGAAUUAAUUAGGUGUUGCUUAAAAACCCCAAUUUGAUUAAUGAGUUCAAAUGAAAGGCAAUUAUGUAACACAAAUGACAGAAUCUUUGGCGGCAAUAGAUUUAUGUGUUAAUUUUAGGACAGCAAUGCACAGUACAGGGUUCACGGUGAUUUGUCUGGGAAAUGCCAUAGGUCCUGUUUUCCAAAAGAAUUCGUGCAAUUGACCUUGGGGUGAGGGGGAUAAAACUGUCUACGCAGCAAAAAACUUCGUGUCCAAGACAUGGAGGGAGUGUUCAGAUUCGGUCACCUUAACCUUUCUAGGGAAAUCACUCAAUUCAAGGGCUGUUGUUUCAAUAUUAGUAACGAGCAGAGCUGAGUACUUACCCGCCAAGGGAGAUAAAAGGAGACUAUGUAAAUCAGUCUUCUCGUGAUUUAGUAGCAAUUGAAAAGGCACAGGUUUUUUUGAGUAUUUAGAUUUAUGGUGUACUGAAAGGAUUAACUGCAGAACCACUGUAAAAUUGAUUCUGCAGUGGAUAGGAGAAAAAAAAGUAUUUCUCUCUUUUUUUUUGGUGGCGGCAGGGGGUACUGCAGGUUACUUGGUAUUUAAGAAACAUAAUUUAGAGGUAAAUGAAGAGCGUAUUCUGACUUCUUUGGACAAGCCUCUUUUAGGCAAUAUUUUGUUUACCUUAUCCCAGUUCGUUCUUGCAAAUGGUGCUUGCCAAGGUGGAAUUACAGGACUCUCUACUGCCCAGCUCGCCUGCUGGGGCUUUCUUUUAUUCUCUCUUUCACUGGGAGGCUGCAGGUCAUUCCCCAAGAGCAUUCCUGGGGCUGGGUGCCCUGGAGGACAAGCCUAUGCUCUGAGUUACAUCUUGCUUUCUGAGAGCCCUUUAUUCAAGCCACUGCUCAGCAAAUGCCACCAUUGUGAGUGUGCCUGGAACCCUUAGAAUGAGAAAAGUGAUCUCCCUAUGGGAGGAAGAGAGUGUGGAACUCACUUCUACGUGCAGUGCCGAUCCCAGGGCAAUGCGACGCUUGCUGACUGACUCACUAUGGAAAAGGAGGACAAGGCAUUGGCGAGGUGUGGCACUGUGCCCUGCUGGUGCCCAUAGCCGAUUCCUCAGGGCUGCGGUGAUGUCUCCUGGAAUGGGCACUGGUCCUCUUCAUCAUCUCAGGGAUAGAUUUUAAAAUAGAGCAUGCUUAAUAUACUUCAGAUGUCUGCAAGGGGAACAGCAGCAAAUACCACAGUCCCAUGGUAAAUAUAAGGGAAAAACAAAGGCAUAUAUGUGUUAACAAGUCUGAUGAAUGGCUCAUGCCUGUAAUCGCAGCACUUUGGGAGGCCGAGGUGAGAGGAUCAUGAGGUCAGGUGUUCGAGACCAGCCUGGCCAACAUGGUGAAACCCCGUCUCUACUAAAAAUACAAAAAUUAGCAGGGCGUGGUGGCAGGCACCUGUAAUCCCAGUUACUCGGGAGGCUGAGGCAGGAGAGUCACUUGAAACCAGAAGGUGGAGGUUGCAGUGAGCUGAGGUCACACCACUGCACUCCAGCCUGGGCAACAAGAGCAAAACUCCAUCUCAACAGCAACAACAACAUCAAUAACAGCAAAGCCUGAUGAAAUCCUAACUCAGCAGUGGCGCAAUUACUUCAUAGAUUGGAUUAUUUUGAAAAGAAGCAGCAAACCCCAUUUGGUGGAUGUAUUUUGAGUCUUUUUUUUUUUUCUGAGACAGGAGCUUGCAAUACCACCCAGGCUAGAAUACAGUGACUCCAUCACAGCUCACUGUAGCCUCGACCUCCUGGGCUCAGGCAAUCCUCUUACCUCAGCCUCUUGAGCAGCUGGGACUACAGGCACAUGCCACCAUGCCCAGAUAAUUUUCUUAAAAUAUAUUUUGUAGAGACAGGGUUUUGCCGUGUUGUCAGGCUAGUCGCAAGCUCCCGAGCUCAAGUGACCCCUCCUUGGCCUACCCAAAGUGCUGGGAUUACAGGCAUCAGCCACUGCGCCUGCGCGGCCUGCGUUUUGAAUCUUUAGGUGAGCAGGCUCCCUGCUAGGUGCUAAGGACGCAGAAAUGAAUACCACCCCUCCCUUCCUCUCAGAGGGCUCCCAAUCUGCUCCUCUUUUCUCUGUUAAAUAUUUUGCCUUUGAGUCUUGCAUAAUGAUGUGGCCACAUUGAGACCUAGUUGAACAGUUUCACAAUAACUCCCUUAAGUCAGAGGGCCUUGGUGAAAUAACAUUGACUUUUACUCUGAAAUCCAUGGAAAUACAAAAUUUACUGUUUUGUUCUCCUUGAUAAAAUAUAGCAUAAUAACUAGUUGCUGGGUUACUACCUAAAACACAGGCCCCAAACUACAGCCAGGAAGGGCAGUUAGCAAUUAAGUAAAGGAAAUGACUAUGACUAGUGGGUCUGAAACCCAACACACUGCCCAUAUCCUUCUUAGCAUAGGGAGGCAUUGAUGUUACUUAGGCAACUUUUAUCACUAAGGAAGUAGUUUUGGUGACUCAUGCUCAUAACAGAAUGACUUAUUUCAAGACCUGAGUGUUCAGUAACCUUACCAUUAUGCUUCUGUUUUCUUUUUUUUUGGACUCAGACAGCAAAGCUCCCUUUGGAUGACAUAGAUUUAUUACUUAGUAGUAUAUUAUGUAUUGGCUGUCCCACAUUUUGAAAUUUAAUGGACUCGUGGUGAUCAGAAUAAAAGAAGCCUUCGAUGUGAGGCCCAGGCAUUGAGUACCAUGUGUGCGAUUCACAAGCCUUGGCAUCUGAACAAUUUUUUGGAAGGAUCCAUCAGGACAACACGUCGGGGGUGUACUAGUGAAGUGAUUUUCCAAAUGUGCUACUCAGACCUGUAGCAUCAGCAUCACCGGAUAAUUUGUUAGAAAUUCCAACUGUUAGGCCCCACUUUAGACCAACUGAAUGUGAAACUCUGGGAGUACGUGGGGCCCAGCAAUUUGUGUUUUUACAAGACUUACCAGGUGAUUCUGAGAACCACUGUGCUAGUGAAUUGUUCCUGUCUGUGGCCACGUAGAAUAAGAAAACCAUAGGGUUGGAAAAUGGGGAAACUGGUGAGUGUUCGCUUAUGAGGAAAUGAAGAAUAGAUAGAAAAGAAUUAGUUAACUUUUGGAAUUCAAAAGAGAAGCAGUUUGUAAAAGCCAGGAAUUUGAUUUGAAGGACUAAUUGCUUGCAGAAUCUUUGCUUUCUCAGAGAGGGGCAAUCCAGAUCACUAGGUUACCGUGAAAUAUGUUGGUAUGGCUCUAAAAUUCUAGAAUAAUCUCUCUAGUGAGAAAAGGCAUACCUUUCCAUAUUAGGACAAAACUUCAAAUCAGGUUUGUAAAAUCCUAUAAGAUUAUUGUAUCCCAUUGCCAUGGCCAACUUGUUUGUCUCUGGAGAUCCCAGUUUCUACAUCUGAAAACCAUAUGCAUUCCUGCUCACCAGGAAUUAUCUCGCUGAAUGAAGCAAGAGAUUCAGGAUGUGUAAGAGAAUUUAUGAAGCAUUUGGAUUACCAAGAAAUGUGAAGUAUAAAGAUCAAGAAUGAUUAUUACAAACACUGAUGGUAAAGAGGUGUUUCGAAGUCGAUGCAAAAAAUGAGUUGCUUAUUUCAGUCUCUCUUUGAUAUAUCUGCCUUUUUAGUGCUGACUCUAUCAUGUAUUCACUAUUUGAUUUUCAGUGAAUCACAUUUUUUAAAGCUUUUAAUCUGUUUCCUCAAAAAAUAUAUUUUUUAAAAAUAUUUACUCAGGAUUGUUGUGAGAAUAAAAUUGAUUCGAUUGAUAUUUCAAAAAAGAAAUAUAUUUUUAAAAAAUAAAGCAAUACCAUUUUUGGAUAUGCUAGUGCUCUGACUGUUAUUUUAUGUCUGGGUUGAGGAAUCCUAAAGGACUGUUGACAUAAUGACAUCAUCCAGGGGUUUGGAAUAAGAGUAUACAUCAGCAAGUUUUCUGAUUACAAAAAGUAGCUAUGUUUACUUUUCUGUUAAUUCUCCUUCAGUGGAAUGUUUCAAUUUUCUCAUGAGAUGGGGGAGAUCCAUUUUUUUGAGAGCUCUGUUUUAUUAAAGAAAGCAAGUCUGGUGGCUCAUGCCUAUAAUUUUAGCACUUCAAGAUGCUGAAGUGGGAGGAUCACCUGAGCUCAGGAAUUCAAGACCAGCCUGGGCAACAUAGCAAAAACCUAUCUCUAUGAAAAAUUUUUAAAAAUUAGCUGGGCAUGGUGUUGCAUGCCUGUAGUACCAGUCACUCAGGAGGCUGAGGUGGGAGGAUCACUUAAGCCCUGGAGGACUAGGCUGCAGUGAGCAGUAAGCUAUGAUCAUGCCACUGCACUCCGGUCUGGAAGACAGAGUUUGUUUAAAAAAAAAGGCAAAUUUGAUACUUUGUGUCCUUUGAACUGAGAAAAUACAUUUCAUUCAUUCUUUCAGGGAAAAAAAGUGGGACUCUGGAGUCAGAGUCCCCAAGGUAAAUUUCUCAGCUCCUAUGCUUAGUAAUUAUGCUACCUUGGAAGAGCCUCAUUUUCUUGAUAUAAAAAAUGGAGGUGAUAAUAACAGUUGUAUGUGCAUGAAAUGAGAAAUGUAUAUAAAAUACAUAAUCGAUUGUCUGGCCUAGAGUAAAUCCUCAAUAAGUGUUGAUGGUUGGUGAUGAUAUUAUUAAACUAUGGCAUAAAGAGGAGAAAAAAGAACCUGUGUCCAAAAACCAAGGGCAGGAAGGAAUAAGAAGACAAGAGAGCAGUUGAUAAACGAUCAUUUUACAAAUGAAAAUUUGUGCAGCUCCUGUGACUUUUCCAGUCAUUUAUUAAAACCAAACCAUUCUUUGAUCACUUCUAAGGAGAAAAGUGAUCAUAGUAAUUUACAACGCUUACAUGUAUGUAACUUUCAAAAUUUCAAUCUUGCCCAAGAGUUAAUAUCCUCCCUCCCAUGGCUUGACUGUGCCUUAGGAAAGGGAAGUCCUGGGUUUCUCACUCUCCCUACUUAGGUGCCUCCCUUCCUCUUCCCUCAUUUUGCUAACUAAGGUUUCUUGCCACUGCAGGAUUAGAGCUCACAGAGGGAAAGAGGUGCAGGAGAUAAGAAAACUCUUACUUGACAAGGGCUAUUGGUGAUCUGGUGUUUACACCUCAAGGUUUGGCAUAUGCUCAAAGCUGGCCCUUUUUCUAGCAGGUGCUUCUUUGGGGUUUUCUUCUCUCUCUCUCUCUUUCUCUCUCUCUCUCUCUCUCUCUCUGUCUCUCCCUCUCUUUCUCUUUCUCAAAGCUUCCCUGGCAUGCAGACAUGCCCUUGUGUCCUGCUUCUCUGUGACUGCUGCCACAGCCCCUAGGAGUCAUUCAGUGGUAUACCCCUUGUUCCUUUUUGCAUGACACCUUUUUUUCUUGUGAGUGACCCCUUGAACAGGGCUUAAGACAGCUUUCUGUCUUGUAUGGCUCAGAUCUAUCCAAGGGAAUUACUUUGCCUCCCCAAACUCAAAGGUUAGAUGGUUACAUUUUAAACUCUCUCGGUGGUUCUCUGAAUCUCCUUGUCUCAGGCUUGAGGUGAGAAGCAGACAGCCUCUAUAGCAUGCUGAUAACUUUCUCCAAAGACCUUCUCUUUGUCUUCAAGAAUCUUCAACUCUUUUAUACCUUCAACAUAAGUAUAUGGUUGUAAGAAUUAUGUAACUAUUUCUGCCCCCCUUCCUUUGGAAAACUUGCAUUAUACUGCUAUAUUUCACUUUGGAAUAUGUUUCUAGUGUUUGGGUACCUUAGGCAAAAUAUACUCAUUUUUUUUUUCCUUUUUCUUUUUGAGAGACAGGUCUCACUAGUCACCCAGGCUGGAGUGCAGUGGUACAAUGAUAGCUCACUGCAGCCUCAAACUCCUUGGCUCAAGUGAUCCUCCUGCCUCAGCCUCCUGAGUACCUGGGACUACAGGCACACACCCCCACACCUGGCUAAUGAAAUUUUUUUGUUUUGUUUUGUUUUGUUUUGUUUUGUUUAAAGGCUGGUCUUUAACUUCUGGCCUCAAGGGAUCCUGCUGUUCUGGUUUCCCAAAACACUGGGAUUGUAGACCUGAGCUACUGCACUGCAAUGGCCAAAAUGUGGUCUAUAGCGCCAUAUUAAAGGUAAAAGGGGGAAUAAAUCACUUUGUGGAUGCCCUGACUUUACAGACCAUCAUCGUGUAGGAGGUGAGGCUGCUGAGGAGAAGAUGCUUUACACACGCAAGGGUUGUAAUAAUGACUUUCAAGGUACUCAGUCUAAUCACAAAAUAGAGCUUUAAAGGUGAAUUAUUUUUGAAAUGUUCAUAUUUAGUAUUUUCCUCAUAGGCAGAAUUUUGAAAGAGUGCGUAUCUGAGGCCUGACAUAUUGUUUUGGGAGCUAAAAUGUGUUUAAAAUGUAACGUUCAGAGGAAGUUAACUGCUAACUUUUCUCAGUUGUAAGAUGAUUCCAGAUUCCCAUGUAUAUAAAAUACAUCAGUCUUAAGACAAAUUAAACAAAAUGUAUUAUGUAUUUUCUUUAAAUUAUUAUUUUUUGCACUUCAGGCAUAAAUAUUUUUAAAUAUGAAAACUCCACAUAAACAUAUGCGUACAACUCUGAGCUCAUGUCAAAAAUGUCUGCGACUGCCUCAUCAUAGUUUUGGAAAUAAACAUCUUUAUUAAAAGACAUUCAACAAACUUAAAAUUUUUUUUAAGGGGGAGGAUGGAAUCAAGGUUAACAGAAGGAAGUGCCUUUAAUUUUUGUAUACUUUUGUAAUUUGUUUUACCCCUGGAAAUUAGCAUGUAUUAUUUUUAAAAUUCAGAAAAAUAAAGUCAGCAUUUAAAAAGGGUAUAUAUCUUUGAUGUGUUUAAUGAAGUACAGAACUGAUAAUGAUAACAUAUUAGGUGAAAAAGAGCUAGGUAUAAAACAUAUGCAAUAAGAUUCUGAUUUGGGUAAAAUACAAUUAGUUCAAAGACUAUGGGGGAGAAACCUCAAAAUGUUAGCUAUGGUCAGGCACGGUGGCUGACACCUGUAAUCCCAGCAUUUUGGGAGGCCAAGAAAGGCAGAACAGUUAAGGUCACGAGUUUAAGGCCAGUCUGGCCAACAUGAUGAAACCCGUCUCUACCAAAAAUACAAAAAUUAGCCAGGUGUGGUGGUGCAUGCCUAUAGUCCCAGCCUACUCAGGAGGCUGAGGCAGGAGAAUCACUUGAAUCCAGGAGGUGGAGGUUGCAGUGAGCUGAGGUCGCACAACUGCAUGCCUAUUUUACUAUUAGCAAAAAAGAGAAAAAAUGGUCAGAAGAGAGACUCUUGCAGUUAUAUUGAGCUUUCAGUACUUUGGGCUUUUCCAAUGUUUGUUUAUUAAGUCCCUUUCACUUUAGGUGAUAAUCAAAAAUUUAUUUUCCAAAUAAUAAUGCCUCAUCUCUCGAGGGAACAAGUAACACGAUAAAACUGCUUUUUGAUUUUAAAACUGUGCAAAGAUAUAUAAAUAAUGCUGUUUGUUGCAUUCUUUUUUCACUCUAUUCUAGGAUUUGGUCCUAAAAUGAAAGGAGAAAAAAAAAAAAAGACAUGCAGAUUCCUGACAUUCUUUCCUAACCAGAAUCCUGUCUAACUCCUAAUAUGAAAUCCUUCCUCAAAUAUAUACUAACUCCCUUUCAUUUUUAUUUGAUGAGUUCCAGCCUAUUUUUUCCUCAAAAAACUAGUGUUAUCGUCUAAAUU
rnacentral:lncRNA from 1 species